GCCCCCUUUGUCUAAUGGCUAUGACGUCAGACUUCUACCUACGGGACUCUUUCAGUCACGUGACCGGGGGAUCUGGAGGUUGUGGGUUCGAGUCCCACAGGGGGUA
rnacentral:tRNA from 1 species